rnacentral:rRNA from 1 species
AGUGAACGCUGGCGGCAGGCCUAACACAUGCAAGUCGAGCGGCAGCGCGUCCGACCACCCUCGGGUGGUCGGAUGGCGGCGAGCGGCGGACGGGUGAGGAAUGCAUCGGAAUCUGCCUCGUUGUGGGGGAUAACGUAGGGAAACUUACGCUAAUACCGCAUACGACCUACGGGUGAAAGUGGGGGACCUUCGGGCCUCACGCGAUGAGAUGAGCCGAUGCCGGAUUAGCUAGUUGGCGGGGUAAAGGCCCACCAAGGCGACGAUCCGUAGCUGGUCUGAGAGGAUGAUCAGCCACACUGGAACUGAGACACGGUCCAGACUCCUGCGGGAGGCAGCAGUGGGGAAUAUUGGACAAUGGGGGCAACCCUGAUCCAGCCAUGCCGCGUGUGUGAAGAAGGCCUCGGUUGUAAG